rnacentral:rRNA from 1 species
GACGAACGCUGGCGGCGUGCUUAACACAUGCAAGUCGAACGGAAAGGCCCCUUCGGGGGUACUCGAGUGGCGAACGGGUGAGUAACACGUGAGUAACCUGCCCUUGACUUCGGGAUAACUUCGGGAAACUGGGGCUAAUACCGGAUAGGAAUCCUUGCUGCAUGGCGGGGGUUGGAAAGCUUCGGCGGUUUUGGAUGGACUCGCGGCUUAUCAGCUUGUUGGUGGGGUAGUGGCUUACCAAGGCUUUGACGGGUAGCCGGCCUGAGAGGGCGACCGGCCACAUUGGGACUGAGAUACGGCCCAGACUCCUACGGGAGGCAGCAGUGGGGAAUAUUGCACAAUGGGCGGAAGCCUGAUGCAGCAACGCCGCGUGCGGGAUGACGGCCUUCGGGUUGUAAACCGCUUUCAGCAGGGGCGAAGCUUGUGGUGACGGUACCUGCAGAAGAAGCACCGGCUAACUACGUG